GACGAACGCUGGCGGCGCGCCUAACACAUGCAAGUCGAACGAGCGAGAGAGAGCUUGCUUUCUCAAGCGAGUGGCGAACGGGUGAGUAACGCGUGAGGAACCUGCCUCAAAGAGGGGGACAACAGUUGGAAACGACUGCUAAUACCGCAUAAGCCCACGGCUCGGCAUCGAGCAGAGGGAAAAGGAGCAAUCCGCUUUGAGAUGGCCUCGCGUCCGAUUAGCUAGUUGGUGAGGUAAUGGCCCACCAAGGCGACGAUCGGUAGCCGGACUGAGAGGUUGAACGGCCACAUUGGGACUGAGACACGGCCCAGACUCCUACGGGAGGCAGCAGUGGGGAAUAUUGCACAAUGGGGGAAACCCUGAUGCAGCGACGCCGCGUGGAGGAAGAAGGUCUUCGGAUUGUAAACUCCUGUUGUUGAGGAAGAUAAUGACGGUACUCAACAAGGAAGUGACGGCUAACUACGUGCCAGCAGCCGCGGUAAAACGUAGGUCACAAGCGUUGUCCGGAAUUACUGGGUGUAAAGGGAGCGCAGGCGGGAAGACAAGUUGGAAGUGAAAUCCAUGGGCUCAACCCAUGAACUGCUUUCAAAACUGUUUUUCUUGAGUAGUGCAGAGGUAGGCGGAAUUCCCGGUGUAGCGGUGGAAUGCGUAGAUAUCGGGAGGAACACCAGUGGCGAAGGCGGCCUACUGGGCACCAACUGACGCUGGGGCUCGAAAGUGUGGGUAGCAAACAGGAUUAGAUACCCUGGUAGUCCACACUGUAAACGAUGAUUACUAGGUGUUGGAGGAUUGACCCCUUCAGUGCCGCAGUUAACACAAUAAGUAAUCCACCUGGGGAGUACGACCGCAAGGUUGAAACUCAAAGGAAUUGACGGGGGCCCGCACAAGCAGUGGAGUAUGUGGUUUAAUUCGACGCAACGCGAAGAACCUUACCAAGUCUUGACAUCCCUUGACGAUGCUGGAAACAGUAUUUCUCUUCGGAGCAAGGAGACAGGUGGUGCAUGGUUGUCGUCAGCUCGUGUCGUGAGAUGUUGGGUUAAGUCCCGCAACGAGCGCAACCCUUAUGGUCAGUUACUACGCAAGAGGACUCUGGCCAGACUGCCGUUGACAAAACGGAGAAAGGUGGGGAUGACGUCAAAUCAUCAUGCCCUUUAUGACUUGGGCUACACACGUACUACAAUGGCGUUAAACAAAGAGAAGCAAGACCGCGAGGUGGAGCAAAACUCAGAAACAACGUCCCAGUUCGGACUGCAGGCUGCAACUCGCCUGCACGAAGUCGGAAUUGCUAGUAAUCGCAGAUCAGCAUGAUGCGGUGAAUACGUUCCCGGGCCUU
rnacentral:rRNA from 1 species